rnacentral:rRNA from 1 species
GAUGAACGCUGGCGGCGCGCCUAACACAUGCAAGUCGAACGAUUAAAGCACCUUCGGGUGUGUAUAAAGUGGCGAACGGCUGAGUAACACGUGGGCAACCUGCCCCCUUCAUUGGGAUAGCCACGGGAAACCGUGGAUAAUACCGAAUACUUCGAGACUUCCGCAUGGAAGACUCGAGAAAGCUCCGGCGGAGAGGGAUGGGCCCGCGGCCUGUUAGCUUGUUGGUGGGGUAACGGCCUACCAAGGCAAUGAUGGGUAGCUGGGUUGAGAGACCGACCAGCCAGAUGGGGACUGAGACACGGCGCAGACUCCUACGGGAGGCAGCAGUGGGGAGCCUUGCACAAUGGGCGAAAGCCUGAUGCAGCGACGCCGCGUGCGGGAUGAAGGCCUUCGGGUUGUAAACCGCUUUCAGCAGGGACGAGGCGAAAGUGACGGUACCUGCAGAAGAAGCCCCGGCUAACUACGUG